GGGAGUGUGGCUCAGUGGUAGGGCACAUGUCUUGCAUAAAUGAAGUCCUGGGUUCAAUUCCCAGAGCCGCCA
rnacentral:tRNA from 1 species